UACAGAGGGUGCGAGCGUUGUCCGGAAUCACUGGGCGUAAAGGGCGCGUAGGCGGCCUGAUAAGUAGGGGGUGAAAUCUUGCGGCUCAACCGCAAGGCUGCCUUCUAAACUGUCAGGCUGGAGUUCGGUAGGGGAGACUGGAAUUCCUGGUGUAGCGGUGAAAUGCGCAGAUAUCAGGAGGAACACCGGUGGCGAAGGCGGGUCUCUGGGCCGAUACUGACGCUGAGGAGCGAAAGCGUGGGGAGCGAACAGG
rnacentral:rRNA from 1 species